rnacentral:rRNA from 1 species
AGCGAACGCUGGCGGCAGGCCUAACACAUGCAAGUCGAGCGGCCGUAGCAAUACGGCAGCGGCAGACGGGAGAGUAACACGUGGGAACGUACCUUUCAGUUCGGAACAACCCAGGGAAACUUGGGCUAAUACCGGAUACGCCCGUAAGGGGAAAGAUUUAUCGCUGAAAGAUCGGCCCGCGUCUGAUUAGCUAGUUGGUGAGGUAAUGGCUCACCAAGGCGACGAUCAGUAGCUGGUCUGAGAGGAUGAUCAGCCUCACUGGGACUGAGACACGGCCCAGACUCCUACGGGAGGCAGCAGUGGGGAAUAUUGGACAAUGGGCGCAAGCCUGAUCCAGCCUUGCCGCGUGGAUGAUGAAGGCCCUAGGGUUGUAAAGUCCUUUCGGCGGGGAAGAUAAUGACGGUACCCGCAGAAGAAGCCCCGGCUAACUUCGUGCCAGCCGCCGCAGUAACAC